rnacentral:rRNA from 1 species
UAGCANCAGNGNGGANNUUGGACAAUGGGCGCAAGCCUGAUCCAGCCAUGCCGCGUGCAGGAAGACGGUCCUAUGGAUUGUAAACUGCUUUUGCAGGAGAAGAAUAAGUUCGACGUGUCGAGCGAUGACGGUACUCUGCGAAUAAGCAUCGGCUAACUCCGUGCCAGCAGCCGCGGUAAUACGGAGGAUGCAAGCGUUAUCCGGAAUCAUUGGGUUUAAAGGGUCCGCAGGCGGAUUGUUAAGUCAGUGGUGAAAUCUUACAGCUCAACUGUAAAAUUGCCUUUGAUACUGGCAACCUUGNAAUCAUUGUGAAGUGGUUAGAAUGUGUAGUGUAGCGGUGAAAUGCUUAGAGAUUACACANAAUACCAAUUGCGAAGGCAGAUCACUAACAAUGUAUUGACNCUCANGGACNAAAGCGUGGGGAGCAAACAGGAUUAGAUACCCUGGUAGUCCACGCUGUAAACGAUGGUCACUAGCCGUUUGACCCGCAAUGGCGGAAUGAGUGGCUAAGCGAAAGUGAUAAGUGACCCACCUGGGGAGUACGUUCGCNAGAAUGAAACUCCNAUGAAUUGACCGGGGC